UGAGCUUGUACAGGUAGAUCAACAAACCAGACAGGAGAAUACUAUCUGAGGAUAGACGAUCCAUUUGUCGAAUUAAUCAACUAAGUUUCAGCAAAUGAUUAUGAUAACUUAGAUUAAAUAAAUAAAUUAUUAAUCCAGUUACAAAGAAAACAGUUUAACAAGUCGAACACGUGCUUUAUUUUGACUUACGAUCACUUACGCAAUCAGCAUCCCCCUUUUUUAAGAAGUACAAAAUAAGACGCAAAACAGUAAAUAUUAUUUCAUUGCAAAUAACUCGAGUACUGCUG
rnacentral:lncRNA from 1 species